AGAAGGCACAGCCACUGCAAUGGGGUGGAGGUACCGAGUGGUCUGGCAGGAGACCUGAGAACUCACCCUAAAAUGGGCUCACAGGGAUAGUUUGCAGGGUACAUGUUUGGGACAAGGAGGUACGGACGUGAACGCGGGGGUGGGAGGCAGUUUCUCGCUGUGGGAAGUACUCAGGGUGGGACGAAGAGACCAGGCAGAAAGCGGAGGGCUUGGAGGUCUACAGGUAUAAAGUUGGGAGACAGGAAAAGGGGGCAAGACUGGUGGGGGGAAGUCGGGGGAAUCCCGGCCGACGGAAGCUGGGAAAUCAAGGCGGGGGGUGGUUCCCAAGGGGAGGUACAGACUUGCGAUGUUAGGGAGGUCCAGGGAGCGGAGGUGGGGCUGAGGGGCGGGAGCGCAAGGCACGCCUCAGGAGAGGGGGUCCGGGACCAGGAGGGAUGGGGGCGCCGAAAUGGGGGAGAGGGAGGCCACUGAGCUCCAGUGCAGCCUCUUCCUGUACAAUGGUGCUCUCGGUAGUAAAACAGGGGAAAGGAAGACUUCUUCAUCAGAGCUAUGAAGAGAAAAUGGGAUUAAAACAUAUGCAAGGACUUCGUAAAUGAUAAAAGGUGGGUGGCAAGGAAGGCUGUAUGGAAGAGAUGGCAUUUAAACCAAAGCUGGCAGUAAGGAUGGAAUUUGGACAUGACGGGGGCAGAGUAAAGUUAUCUCAGAAUGAAUGAACAAGUGACCAAAGUGAAAAAGUGACUGGAAUUGAAAAAAUGUGGUUUAUGUGCACCUAUGUGUAAGGAUAGGGGUACUUUAACCAGACAGUUUGUGUAAACUGUGACUAAAAAUUUACCUUGACUAUUAAAAAGCAAAUACAA